UACGAAGGGGGCUAGCGUUGCUCGGAAUCACUGGGCGUAAAGGGUGCGUAGGCGGGUCUUUAAGUCAGGGGUGAAAUCCUGGAGCUCAACUCCAGAACUGCCUUUGAUACUGAGGAUCUUGAGUUCGGGAGAGGUGAGUGGAGCUGCGAGUGUAGAGGUGAAAUUCGUAGAUAUUCGCAAGAACACCAGUGGCGAAGGCGGCUCACUGGCCCGAUACUGACGCUGAGGUGCGAAAGCGUGGGGAGCAAACAGG
rnacentral:rRNA from 1 species